UUAGGAAUCUGCCUAUUAGUGGGGGACAACAUUCCGAAAGGAAUGCUAAUACCGCAUACGUCCUACGGGAGAAAGCAGGGGAUCUUCGGACCUUGCGCUAAUAGAUGAGCCUAAGUCGGAUUAGCUAGUUGGUGGGGUAAAGGCCUACCAAGGCGACGAUCUGUAGCGGGUCUGAGAGGAUGAUCCGCCACACUGGGACUGAGACACGGCCCAGACUCCUACGGGAGGCAGCAGUGGGGAAUAUUGGACAAUGGGGGGAACCCUGAUCCAGCCAUGCCGCGUGUGUGAAGAAGGCCUUAUGGUUGUAAAGCACUUUAAGCGAGGAGGAGGCUACUGAGACUAAUACUCUUGGAUAGUGGACGUUACUCGCAGAAUAAGCACCGGCUAACUCUGUGCCAGCAGCCGCGGUAAUACAGAGGGUGCGAGCGUUAAUCGGAUUUACUGGGCGUAAAGCGUGCGUAGGCGGCUUUUUAAGUCGGAUGUGAAAUCCCCGAGCUUAACUUGGGAAUUGCAUUCGAUACUGGGAAGCUAGAGUAUGGGAGAGGAUGGUAGAAUUCCAGGUGUAGCGGUGAAAUGCGUAGAGAUCUGGAGGAAUACCGAUGGCGAAGGCAGCCAUCUGGCCUAAUACUGACGCUGAGGUACGAAAGCAUGGGGAGCAAACAGGAUUAGAUACCCUGGUAGUCCAUGCCGUAAACGAUGUCUACUAGCCGUUGGGGCCUUUGAGGCUUUAGUGGCGCAGCUAACGCGAUAAGUAGACCGCCUGGGGGAGUACGGUCGCAAGACUAAAACUCAAAUGAAUU
rnacentral:rRNA from 1 species